GAAAUACAUAAAAUUCCAGCGCACCAUAUGGAAACCGGGGGGUCUUAGGUUCAUUAUCUUGAAAAAUUAAGGGGGGAGUACCACAUAUUUGGGGAUUGAGGUAUGUUAAGUAUGAUUAGGAACCUACAAGUCUACAUGUACAUACUGGACAGAUAUAGAGAAAGGAAUGAAGGAUUUGAAGAAUGGUAAUUUAUAUUUGUAAAUUUGACGGAAAUGUGACAAAGAAUGGAAUAUAGAUGAUUGUGUUAUAGGAAGUCAAAGAGGUGGUCAAGGCGGGUAUUUAUAAGUAGAAGGUAGAUGAAGUAGAAACUGAUGGAAGCCAACGAGGCUUGACACAAAACACGGUUGCAACAAGAAUAACAAACAAAGGAAUGUGCAUAAGCGUGUUCAGCAGGUUAGACAAAAAAAAUUUUGCAACAUAGUGCGAACUGGACGCGAAUGGCAUAAAUAUCAGUGGAAGGUAUAAUGAGAAUGAAGAGAGAACGGCGAUGGAAGAGAAAGGCCUACAUAUGGAAAUGGGGGAGAGAUAUGAGAGAUGAAGAUGGAAGUUGGCGAUUGGGGUGUGAAGAGAAGAGUAAGGACAAACAAUAAGCAUUGGGGAGAGAACAGGGUGGUGGAAAGAGAAAGAAUGAGACAAAUAUGAAAAACUGUGAUAGAAUAGAGUGACAGUAGAUCAAGCUUGAGGAGUAUAGGAGGAGCAUGUUAGCAGCAAGAAGUGAAAGGUAGAGAUGGGAUAGUAUUGAAGAGCAGAGGAAGAGGUCGUGUGCGGUAGCCAAAAUAUUUUGGACGGAAAAAGACCGAACUGGCGAAAUGCGACCAAGUCAUUGCAUAAAAAAACAUGAAAAAAAGACUAAACUUGAAUUCAUAAUCAGAUGAGUAGCCCGCGCAAAUCUUUACGUCUCAAAAAACUUUUUCCCUUGAGAAAGUUGAGAAGAAAUAUUUUUAGUUUGUACAAGGGAAUAUAGGUGGCGGAUCAGAAAACAGCAGAGAUAUGCUGGGAGGAAUUACAUGCGAAAGCAUGAAACAAUUGUAAAACAAUUCAGACAAUGAGUUGUAGUAACAUUGUUUAUAUGGCCUCGUUGUUAAGUGGAGAGAGUUUAAUGGUGAACGUAAGUUUGGCAUUGCUUUUUACGCUAUGACAACAUGGGUGAUCUUGCCUUGUGCAAGAAAACCUGAACAGUCUCAUACUAGAUAUCUAACGAUUCUAUGUAUGAGCGCUGAAGGAUUUAGUGGAUUACUAGCUGAUAGCAAACAUUCAUUAAAACUUAUUUGGGGGUCUGCCUUGACAAAUAGCCGGAUUAAGUUCUGUGAUUUUGCCAAGUGUAACCUCCUCCAUGGUUGGUUAUGUAAAACCUUGUGUUGUAAAAAGCUCGAGUGUUUUGCGGACAUCAUACCAGGGGAAUUCAAAGAGGGCUAUAUGGAUGUAUUUGGUUGCGACUCGAGCGUAAAAACUUGAGAUGCGAGCACAUACCGAUUGAAUUUAUUCAGUUGUCAAUUUAGAAAACUUCUUGUCAGUCUGAGAACGUCAGUUCUUGGGCUGGUGAUGAGACUGCUUUGCAGUCUUAAGAUAGUUAU
rnacentral:misc_RNA from 1 species